rnacentral:rRNA from 1 species
AUUGAACGCUGGCGGCGUGCUUAACACAUGCAAGUCGUGCGGUAACAGGCGUAGCAAUACGUGCUGACGAGCGGCGAACGGGUGCGUAAUACAUGGGAAUCUGCCUUUUAGUGGGGAAUAACCCGGCGAAAGCCGGGCUAAUGCCGCAUAAGAUCUUCGGAUGAAAGCGGGGGAGUCGUAAGACCUCGCGCUGAUAGAUGAGCCCAUGCCGGAUUAGCAGUUGGUGAGGUAACGGCUCACCAAGGCGACGAUCCGUAGCUGGUCUGAGAGGACGGCCAGCCACACUGGGACUGAGACACGGCCCAGACUCCUACGGGAGGCAGCAGUGGGGAAUAUUGGACAAUGGGGAAACCCUGAUCCAGCGACGCCGCGUGUGUGAAGAAGGCCUGCGGGUUGUAAA